AGAGUGGAUACUCCUGGGAGAUCUACAAGAGCAGACACAGUGAUUACAUUGAUGCAAAGAGAGAGACACUUUCUAACUGGAUGAGGAGCAGAGCUCUUGGUCUGGUAUGGGGACGAAUACGCCAGACAUCUGGGAAUCGGAUUGAUCGACUGUGGAACAACAAGAGCUCUACUAAAGGUCUUGCCUUCAAGUCUGUCUUUCUGUCAGGGUUUGGUUUCUAUGCGGCACUUCAUGACCACAUCUCUCAUUUUAAUACAAAAGAGCUUGGACAAUAAAAAUCUACAUUAACAAAGCAGUCAAGAAAUUAUACAGGAAAUAGUAAAGUUUUAACAUAAAUUUAAAUAUAAUAAACAAAAGAUGACAACAUAAUAGGAAAUAUAUUCUUACUUGGAAAAAUGUCUAAAUAAAAAUAUACAGUACCAUGGAGGUUUCAAAAAAACAAUCCAAUCA
rnacentral:lncRNA from 1 species